AUGCCGCCGCAGUACAUCAGCCACAUCCGACGGCUCACGCGCGGCCGCUCGAGAAGCCAGAAUCACCCUAACGCCUCCCAUGAAUAUGCCACUGAUGAGGAGGUGAAGAAACAACAGACGAGGCACUCGAGGAGACAUAGGGCCAGGUCAAUCUUACGAUGCGAUUCAUCUGGGCCUGCCGGGAGCGUCAGAACCGCAGCCCGCCGUGGGCACCAUCACCCUCCUCUCCUACGUUCCUACCCAGCCGUGAGAUCUCAGCCUCGGAGGAUUUGCAAGUCCGUAGUAACAAUGAUCGAGGCCAACGCCAGCGAUUCCCAAGUCGUCCCCGUCGAGAUCCCUUCCACAGUUCCUCCACCGAGUCCGCACCACAGCAUCAGCAUCACCGUCCACGCGGCGACGCCGGAGCACACCAACCGGCGGCGUCCUUUGCUUGCAAUCUUCCACGAAGCCACACUGAGCGGCCGAUCCAGGAGGCCAGCCUCGCCGCCCCCAUCCCCCUGUGUCCUCUCGAGAUGGCGAGAUGGUCGGGCACCCCGGCGGCCAAGCACCCUGGAGGCCCCACCAUACGCUGCAGCUUGUUGUGACGAACGUGCAUGGGGAGGACGUCGUGGGGAGGUUCCUGGGUGCAACCGCCACGGCAGCGAUGACCGCGGAGUACGAGCCUACGAGGCACGAGGCGACGAAGGCGCUCCUGGAGGAAAUCGCGGCUGUAGAGGCCCGAAGAUGGAGAAUAUCACGCACGUGGAGGAGCUAGAGAAGCUUAUGCUGAGAGACAGUAAGAAGGCAACAUGGUACAUGCGGCUGGGAGAGAAAAAAAGAACAAUAUCGACUCCAAAUUAUCCAAGUCAGACUUAUAUGAUCUAUUUGGCCUGGUUAGGAAACUGCAUAUAUGCCUUUGUCAAUGUGCAAUCGAACAGCCAUCGGGUGGUGAUGAGAGGACUACUGAAGCAGGGGAAGCACACUUCAGUUGGUUACCCAUGGUUUUUUCAGAAGAUGCAAAGCAUCCAGAAUGUGACCAGUCACACACUAGAGAGCAUCGAGAGCUUCUGUCAUUGGAUAAUGGCAUCAAAUAUGCGGUUCAAGUCCUUUCACAGUGCAGAUAGAGAUGUGGCCUUCCUCAUUCCUCAAGAUAUUUUUCCUUUGGGGAAAAAAAGAACCGGAAAAGGAGGGUUUGCGCGGGCCGUCUCCUGCAGUCGUGCUCUCGCGCGCUUCGCCUCGAAGAGCCCAGCUCCGGCCGGUCGAGCGCCGUACCGCAGAGGAGAAACCACGCCGCGCAGCCGUGGGGACUGGGCAGGAGCGCAGCCGCGGGCCGGGGAGGAGUUCCAGGCCGCCGAGGGGACUCAAAUGGUGGCGCGCUUCGCUCCCCGCGUGAAACCUCAUCGUCUCGGUCGCUCCAUGUGGGCGGAAGCUGCUCCUCUUCGUCCCGAACCACACCCACCGCCCGUCUUCUCCGUGCUGCCACUGCAAGACCUCAACGCCCGCCUGAAGCGACUGGUCCAGUCGGGCCGGCUCCUGGACGCGCAGGCCCUGUUCGACGGGGCGCCGCACCGCGACGAGGCCUCCUACUCCGCCCUCCUCGCGGGCCAUGCCGCGGCGGGGGUUGUCGCCGGCGCGAUGGCGCUCUUCUCCCGCAUCCGCGCAUCCUCGCUCCCGGCCGCUGACCCCUUCGUGCUCAGCCUCGCGUUCAAGGCCUGCGCUGCGGCCGUCGACGCCAGCCACGCUGCGUCACUGCACGCCUUCGCCGUCAGUUCCUCGGCUGUCUCCUCCGUCUUCGUCGCCACCGCGCUGGCCGACGCCUACGCCAAGGCCGGCCGCCUCGCGCUGGCCGACGCCUACGCCAAGGCCGGCCGCCUCGCGCUGGCACUCAGGGUGUUCGACGAAAUGCCGCUCAAGAACGUGGUCUCCUGGGCCACGCUCAUCUCCGCACUGGCGCGGGCCGGCCGCCGCCACGACGCGAUCCGCUGCUUCGCCGAGAUGCGCGCCUCCGGCAUGCCCUGCGACUCGCACGCCUUCGCGGCCGCGCUCACCGCGUGCGCCGACACCGGGCUGCUGUCCGCGGCCGUGAGACUGGUCGUGCCAAGGAAGCCAUCCUGGCAUUCGUCGCGAUGCUUCGUGACGGGGCAUCAAACGCGGCAAGGCCCAACGAAUACACAUACGCUGCAGUUAUUGCUGCGUGUGCAAAUAUUUCGUGUGUACAUCUUUGAGAGCAGUUGCACGCGCAAGCUGCACAAAGAGGGUUCGCCAGUUCGCGCUCGGUGGCCAAUUCACUCGUCACACUCUAUGCCCGCGCCGCCGGUCGUCUGUCUGCAGCCGAUGCCGUGUUCCAGGAAAGUGCUGCCAAGGAUGUUGUCUCUUGGAGUGCAAUCAUAUCAGGCUAUGCACAGGAAGGGCUUGCCGGGGAGGCUUUCGCCCUGUUUACUGAAAUGCGACGGCACCAUUGUCCUCGUCCGAAUGAGUUUACUCUUGCCAGUCUCCUCAGUGCGUGCGCAACUGCUGCGUCACUGGACGCUGGUCGCCAACUCCAUGCACUUGCUGUCGCUGCUGGACUUGAACACCAUGCCAUGGUCAGGAGCGCGCUCAUUGACAUAUGAUGUGGUUUCAUGGACCGCGAUGAUCGUCGGGAAUGCUGAGCAUGGCCACAGCAAAAGGGCACUUGAAUUGUUUGAGGAAAUGUGCCGUGUUGGGCUAAAGCCGGACCAUGUUGCGUUCAUUGGUGUGCUCAGUGCUUGCUGUCAUGCUGGGGCAGUUGAGCUUGGAUUGAGGUACCUCAAUGCAAUGAGCAAAAGCUACGGACUGGAGCCGUCAAAGGAGCACUAUGGCUGUGUCGUGGAUUUGUUGGGCAGAGCUGGUAGAAUAGAUGAGGCUGAGGAGUUGAUUGGUGGUAUGGCAGCUAAUGAAAGAGAUGGAGUUGUUUGGACAUUUUUGCUUAGGGCAUGUGCAGCUCGAGGGGAAGAGCAAACCGGGAAGAAAGCUGCAGAGAGGGUAAUGGAGGCAGAGCCAUGGGGUGCAGGAGCACAUGUGGCAAUGGCAAAUCUAUACGCCAGCAAGGGACAGUGGUGUGAGGCAGCACAAGAGAGACAUAUGAUGAAGCAGAAAGGGGUUGUGAAAGGAGUAGGCUGGUCAUCAGUCACAGUUGGAGGGGAGGAGAGGGGAGUUGGGGUGUUUGUUGCAGGUGACCGGACACACCCCCAAGACAAUUUGAUCUAUGAGAUGCUUGACUUGAUUUACUAUGGAGUUGGAAUGGCUCGGUAUGUACCCGAUCAGAUGAAUUUAGCAUCUGAGCAUAUAUGUAUGAGGCAAGAGUUCUCCGUUGAAGCUUCAGCGCUCAGGCUGGUGCCAAAAGUAGCAGUUCUGUGUCUACCACAGAUCAGAGCAACAAAAGUUCUGAUAUCUGCAUCAGAAUUGCAUUGA
rnacentral:rRNA from 1 species